GGUUUGUUUUUUAUUUCUGCACUGUUGCACCAGUGCAAUAAGUAAGAAUGAGAAAAAAUAUAUUUGUCUUAUUCUAACUUAUUGCACCAGUGCAGGAAUAAAAAACAAACCUAUUACAUCGUUGAUCGUAAAAUUGUGAUUUGUCGCGCCGCGUUAACGCGGUUCGGGAGUGCCGACCGAUUGAAUUGAAAACGAACCGUAGCCGGUUCGUCGUGUUUGCUUCGGGAGUGCCGUUCAAGUAAAUGGACUUUUAAUUAGUCCUCGCGCGAUUGUGACUUUAAUAAUCGCGAGUGUUUUUCGCGAGUGUCUCUCAAGAAAGGACAGCCUAUUCUGAGAGGAGGAGGAGGUCCAGAAAGGACAUCGGGCAUCAGCGGAGCAACCUUGGGUAUCAUCGCAGCUUCGUGGCCGAAUAACUCCGCUCGUUGCGCAUCGGAUCGGUGAGUUUUAUAUUAUGGAUGAUUUUCGAAGAUGCUUUUUCUUGGGGCCUCGAAUUGUCGUAAGACGGACCUAAGUUGUCAUGAAAUAUUCCGUCGAAAAAAAAAUUUGUUUAUCGUGUUUACGCCGUUUUGCAGCGAGAACGAUAGCUUUCAAAUAAAGAUGUAAAUUUGUAGAUAUAUACAGAUACUGAUCUAAAUGAGGGACGAUUUUGUUUCGUGGUAGCAAAUGGAUAUUUGCUGUCAUUUUUUUAAUGCAUUCCUUAAUACAAAUUUUUCAUAACUUCCUUCAACUUUUCAAUAAUUUUUCCUACGAUGUGAUGGAAGUUAAAAGCGAGAUUAACUGUCCAAAUAUACACAAAGAGUUUUCACCAAAAAUUUGUAGUAAAAAGUAAAAAAAGUUAUAUUGAUUACAUUAAAAUAUUUAAUUGUACGUUAUAUUAAUAUUAAUAAGAACUUAUAGAAUCCAAUAUUUUAUUAAACUAUUUUUAAUAAACACGUUGGAGUACACAAAAAUUUUCAUAAAAACAAAGUUUUUAAAUUAAAUUAAAUUAAAAUUAAAUUUAGGUAAAAUUUCCACAUGGGUAAUGUCAGAAUUACGUGACCUGUGCAUAUAUAUCUGCAAGAUAAUGUUUCAACAGAAAAGAUUUCUCCAGUGCGUUAGUCGUUAUCUCUCUUUGUCAGAUAAUGAUAAUAAAUGCCAACCAUCUGAAAUGAUUGUAUUACAUUCUAAAAAUAGCGAUAUCGAAACGCAGUUUUACUCCAUAUUUAUUUCAUGUAAGUAUAGAAUAAAAAUAAGAAUCAUACGUUUAUUACAAAGACUUUAUUUCUAGAGAAUAUAACAUAUCAUUUCUCGCAUGCUUACGCUCAUAUAAUGUAUCAACUUAUAUGUUUAAUGAAAUAUAUUAAUCUAUUGUUAUCACU